rnacentral:misc_RNA from 1 species
UCGUAACAAGGUUUCCGUAGGUGAACCUGCGGAAGGAUCAUUAUCGAGUUUUGAAAAGGGUUGUAGCUGGCCUUCGGCAACAAGUCGGAGGCAUGUGCACGCCUGGCUCAUCCACUCUCAAACCCCUGUGCACCUUUUGUAGGCUUCGGCAGAGAGGACUGACUUCGGUCGGUUCAGGAAGCCUUGUGCCUAUGUCACACAUACAAACGCUUCAGUUUAGAAUGUAACGAAUCGUGCGCCUCGGUGCAACGAAAUAAAUACAACUUUCAGCAACGGAUCUCUUGGCUCUCGCAUCGAUGAAGAACGCAGCGAAAUGCGAUAAGUAAUGUGAAUUGCAGAAUUCAGUGAAUCAUCGAAUCUUUGAACGCACCUUGCGCUCCUUGGUAUUCCGAGGAGCAUGCCUGUUUGAGUGUCAUGAAAUUCUCAACCUUUGAAGCUUUUUUUUGAGCUCGCAAAGGCUUGGACUUGGAGGUCGUGUCGGCUCGUAACAAAGUCGACUCCUCUGAAAUGCAUUAGUGUGAAACCUUCGCAGGAUCGCCUUCGGUGUGAUAAUUGUCUACGCCGUCGGUCGUGAAAGUCGAAACAUACGUGUUCACGCUUCUAAUCGUCCGUCGAGGACAAACUUUUUUCUUGACCAUCUGACCUCAAAUCAGGUAGGACUACCCGCUGAACUUAAGCAUAUCAAUAA